CAGGACUCGAAAGGCUCCCGUAACCACUGUGAACUUACCUAUAUUCGUUGCCUCGGCGGGUGCCCUGGACCUGUGUCCGGGGCAUUCAGCCCGCCGGCGGCCUACAACUCUGUCUCGCGCGUUGGCAUCUCCGAGUCAUUUUAAACGAGUCA
rnacentral:misc_RNA from 1 species